AUUGAACGCUGGCGGCAGGCUUAACACAUGCAAGUCGAGCGGAGCGAGGGUGCUUGCACCUUAGCUUAGCGGCGGACGGGUGAGUAAUGCUUAGGAAUCUGCCUAUUAGUGGGGGACAACAUUCCGAAAGGAAUGCUAAUACCGCAUACGCCCUACGGGGGAAAGCAGGGGAUCUUCGGACCUUGCGCUAAUAGAUGAGCCUAAGUCGGAUUAGCUAGUUGGUGGGGUAAGGGCCUACCAAGGCGACGAUCUGUAGCGGGUCCGAGAGGAUGAUCCGCCACACUGGGACUGAGACACGGCCCAGACUCCUACGGGAGGCAGCAGUGGGGAAUAUUGGACAAUGGGCGGAAGCCUGAUCCAGCCAUGCCGCGUGUGUGAAGAAGGCCUUUUGGUUGUAAAGCACUUUAAGCGAGGAGGAGGCUACUGGUACUAAUACUACUGGAUAGUGGACGUUACUCGCAGAAUAAGCACCGGCUAACUCUGUGCCAGCAGCCGCAGUAAAAC
rnacentral:rRNA from 1 species